rnacentral:rRNA from 1 species
GACGAACGCUGGCGGCGUGCUUAACACAUGCAAGUCGAACGGAAAGGCCCUGCUUUUGUGGGGUGCUCGAGUGGCGAACGGGUGAGUAACACGUGAGUAACCUGCCCUUGACUUUGGGAUAACUUCAGGAAACUGGGGCUAAUACCGGAUAGGAGCUCCUGCUGCAUGGUGGGGGUUGGAAAGUUUCGGCGGUUGGGGUUGGACUCGCGGCUUAUCAGCUUGUUGGUGGGGUAGUGGCUUACCAAGGCUUUGACGGGUAGCCGGCCUGAGAGGGUGACCGGCCACAUUGGGACGGGGAUACGGCCCAGACUCCUACGGGAGGCAGCAGUGGGGAAUAUUGCACAAUGGGCGGAAGCCUGAUGCAGCAACGCCGCGUGCGGGAUGACGGCCUUCGGGUUGUAAACCGCUUUCGCCUGUGACGAAGCGUGAGUGACGGUAAUGGGUAAAGAAGCACCGGCUAACUACGUG